CCCUCGUGAGGGUGCCUGACGGUACUGUAGGAAUAAGCACCGGCUAACUCCGUGCCAGCAGCCGCGGUAAUACGGAGGGUGCGAGCGUUAUCCGGAUUUAUUGGGUUUAAAGGGUCCGUAGGCGGAUUAAUAAGUCAGUGGUGAAAUCCCAUCGCUUAACGAUGGAACUGCCAUUGAUACUGUUAGUCUUGAAUGAGGGUGCAGUGGUUGGAAUGUGUAGUGUAGCGGUGAAAUGCAUAGAUAUUACACAGAACACCGAUUGCGAAGGCAGAUCACUAACCCUAAAUUGACGCUGAGGGACGAAAGCGUGGGGAGCGAACAGGAUUAGAUACCCUGGUAG
rnacentral:rRNA from 1 species